GGGAACCUCACCCGGCCCGGACACCGCGAGGAUUGACAGACUGAGAGCUCUUUCUCGAUUCGGUGGGUGGUGGUGCAUGGCCGUUCUUAGUUGGUGGAGCGAUCUGUCUGGUUAAUUCCGAUAACGAACGAGACUCUGUCCUGCUAAAUAGUGUCUGCUUCUCUUUUGAGCAGACAAUUCUUCUUAGAGCAAUAA
rnacentral:rRNA from 1 species